CAGCCAUCAACUGAAGGUGACGAUGAUACAGUUAAAAGAGAAUUAGUCCGCAUUCGUUGUACGCAAAUAAUAAAUUAUUGGAUCACCAUCACCUAUUGACACGAGCUUGAAAGCUCAAUUUAUUUAACAAGUCAGGAUCAAAGCUGAGAAGAAAAGAAAAAAGAAAGAAUUUACAGAGACGACGACGGAGAAUUUGUAUGGCAGAGCGUGACGAGGAGGACGAAGACAGCCCAUAAGAACGGAGGGUGCACUUACACGAAGGGAUCACGAAGAGCGUGAUUAACGGCGAGAAUUGCUGCUUCUUGAUUGUAAAUAAAUCCAAGAAAAGGAGGAAGUAGAGGAAGGAAAGAGCUGAAUGGAUGAAUGAGAAUUGGAAAUUGACCCUAUUGAAUUACAUAUCAAGAAAUUGAGACAACAAUAAGGGGAUUUAGCAAAGAAAAUGCCACUGGCAUUAGAGCAAAUGGACAAGUCUACAAAGGUGUAUUAUCAAAAGGUACUGAGAUUGCAGUGAAGCGAAUUUCCCAUGAAAAUAAUGGGAUGAGAGAUAUUUUGGUUGAAAUCUCUAGUGUUGGAAAAUUAAAUUUAAUAUUAUUCCCACAAAGAUUUGAACUUGAGGAAA